AUUGAACCUUGGCGGCAGGCCUAACACAUGCAAGUCGAACGAGUGGCGGAAGGGUGAGUAAUGUCUGGGAAACUGCCUGAUGGGGGGGGAUAACUCCUGGACAUGGUACCUAAUACCGCAUACUAUCAGAUGUGCCCAGAUGGGAUUAGCUUGUUGGUGGGGUAACGGCUCACCAAGGCGACGAUCCCUAGCUGGUCUGAGAGGAUGACCAGCCACAGUGGAACUGAGACACGGUCCAUACACCUACGGUAGGCAGCGGAGGGGAAUAUGGGACAAGGGGCGCAAGCCUGAUGCAGCGGUGCAGCGUGUAUGAAGAAGGCCUUCGGGUUGUAAAGUCCUUUCGGCGGAGAUGCGUUACCCGCAGAGGAAGGACCGGCUAACUCCGUGGCAGCAGCCGCGGUAAUAC
rnacentral:rRNA from 1 species